GUGGGGAAUAUUGGGCAAUGGGGGCAACCCUGACCCAGCGACGCCGCGUGAGGGAAGAAGGCCUUAGGGUCGUAAACCUCUGUUGUGUGGGAAGAAGGAAGUGACGGUACCACACGAGGAAGUCCCGGCUAACUACGUGCCAGCAGCCGCGGUAAUACGUAGGGGACGAGCGUUGUCCGGAAUUACUGGGCGUAAAGGGCGCGUAGGCGGUCAUUUAAGUCAGCUGUGACAUGGUCCGGCUCAACCGGAUCAGGGGGUUGGAACUGGAUGACUGGAGUGCUGGAAAGGCAAGUGGAAUUCCCAGUGUAGCGGUGAAAUGCGUAGAUAUUGGGAAGAACACCGGUGGCGAAGGCGACUUGCUGGCCAGCAACUAACGCUGAGGCGCGAAAGCCAGGGGAGCAAACGGGAUUAGAAACCCUGGUAGUCC
rnacentral:rRNA from 1 species